rnacentral:rRNA from 1 species
AUUGAACGCUGGCGGCAGGCCUAACACAUGCAAGUCGAGCGGAUGAUGGGAGCUUGCUCCUUGAUUCAGCGGCGGACGGGUGAGUAAUGCCUAGGAAUCUGCCUGGUAGUGGGGGACAACGUUUCGAAAGGAACGCUAAUACCGCAUACGUCCUACGGGAGAAAGCAGGGGACCUUCGGGCCUUGCGCUAUCAGAUGAGCCUAGGUCGGAUUAGCUUGUUGGUGAGGUAAUGGCUCACCAAGGCGACGAUCCGUAACUGGUCUGAGAGGAUGAUCAGUCACACUGGAACUGGGACACGGUCCAGACUCCUACGGGAGGCAGCAGUGGGGAAUAUUGGACAAUGGGCGAAAGCCUGAUCCAGCCAUGCCGCGUGUGUGAAGAAGGUCUUCGGAUUGUAAAGCACUUUAAGUUGGGAGGAAGGGUUGUAGAUUAAUACUCUGCAAUUUUGACGUUACCGACAGAAUAAGCACCGGCUAACUCUGUGCCAGCAGCCGCCGCGGUAA